UCCUGCUGGUAAAGAUAAUCAGCUUAUCAUCGCAGAGUCAGAUGUCGUUGGCCGGCCUGUACGUGGUGUAGCAUGCAAACAGUGUGUAUCGGCUGCAGACCUGAUGAGAAGGACAAACGGUUGAGAACGAAUCGUUUCAGGACCRAUAAGCUUUGAAAAGGUUUGACAUUGAAGGAUGGAGAAUAUCGUCGUCAGCAGCACCUCGUGGAACCAAAGCGUCAAUCAGAGCAUCUCCAACAACAGCGAUGCGUUUAACAAUAACGGUUAUGAGGAUGAAUACAGAAUCCUUGUUUUGAAAUAUGUGGAUGUGGUGGAUUGGAUCACUAUUUGUGUUGGGCUUCCUUUGACUCUGCUGACCAUAUUUGCUGUUUUAUCAAUGGUGA